rnacentral:misc_RNA from 1 species
AACCAUAGAAACCUGCGGAGUACCUGCGGAAGGAUCAUUACCGAGUUUACAAACUCCCAAACCCUUUGUGAACCUUACCUAUCGUUGCUUCGGCGGGAUCGCCCCGGGCCGGCCCUUCACGGGGCCUCCGGAACCAGGCGCCCGCCGGAGAACCCAAACUCUUUGUUUUUAUGGUUUUCUCCUCUGAGUGGAUUAUAAACAAAUAAAUCAAAACUUUUAACAAUGGAUCUCAGAUCGGAA